UGGGGAAUAUUGGACAAUGGGGGCAACCCUGAUCCAGCAAUGCCGCGUGUGUGAAGAAGGCCUUCGGGUUGUAAAGCACUUUAGUUGGGGAAGAAGGGUUGGAGUUUAAGAGAUACCAACUUUGACGGUACCCAAAGAAUAAGCACCGGCUAACUCUGUGCCAGCAGCCGCGGUAAUACAGAGGGUGCAAGCGUUAAUCGGAAUGACUGGGCGUAAAGGGCGCGUAGGUGGAUAUUUAAGUGAGAUGUGAAAGCCCCGGGCUUAACCUGGGAAUGGCAUUUUAGACUGGAUAUCUGGAGUACAGUAGAGGGUGGAGGAAUUUCCGGUGUAGCGGUGAAAUGCGUAGAUAUCGGAAGGAACACCAGUGGCGAAGGCGACCACCUGGACUGAUACUGACACUGAGGCGCGAGAGCGUGGGUAGCAAACAGG
rnacentral:rRNA from 1 species